rnacentral:rRNA from 1 species
CGUGCUACAAUGGCGUAUACAAAGGGAGGCGACCUCGCGAGAGUAAGCGGACCUCAUAAAGUACGUCUAAGUCCGGAUUGGAGUCUGCAACUCGACUCCAUGAAGUCGGAAUCGCUAGUAAUCGUGAAUCAGAAUGUCACGGUGAAUACGUUCCCGGGCCUUGUACACACCGCCCGUCACACCAUGGGAGUGGGUUGCACCAGAAGUAGAUAGCUUAACCUUCGGGCGGGCGUUUACCACGGUGUGGUUCAUGACUGGGGUGAAGUCGUAACAAGGUAACCGUAGGGGAACCUGCGGUUGGAU